GACGAACGCUGGCGGCGUGCUUAACACAUGCAAGUCGAACGGAAAGGCCCUGCUUUUGUGGGGUGCUCGAGUGGCGAACGGGUGAGUAACAAGUGAGUAACCUGCCCUUGACUUUGGGAUAACUUCAGGAAACUGGGGCUAAUACCGGAUAGGAGCUCCUGCUGCAUGGUGGGGGUUGGAAAGUUUCGGCGGUUGGGGAUGGACUCGCGGCUUAUCAGCUUGUUGGUGGGGUAGUGGCUUACCAAGGCUUUGACGGGUAGCCGGCCUGAGAGGGUGACCGGCCACGUUGGGACUGGGAUACGGCCCAGACUCCUACGGGAGGCAGCAGUGGGGAAUAUUGCACAAUGGGCGGAAGCCUGAUGCAGCAACGCCGCGUGCGGGAUGACGGCCUUCGGGUUGUAAACCGCUUUCGCCUGUGACGAAGCGUGAGUGACGGUAAUGGGUAAAGAAGCACCGGCUAACUACGUG
rnacentral:rRNA from 1 species